AAUACGUUCCUGGACCUUGUACACACCGCCCGUCAAGCCAUGGAAGCCGGGUGUACCUAAAGUCGAUAACCGCAAGGAGUCGCCUAGGGUAAAACUGGUGACUGGGGCU
rnacentral:rRNA from 1 species